GGAGGGGUGGCUCAGUGGCAGAGCGUCUGCUCAACAAGCAGAAGGUCCCAGGUUCAAACCCGGGCAUCCCCA